ACUGCACUUAGAAGUGUUGCAGAGGUGCCUGCUGUGUCACAUGUACACCAGUAGGUGGCAGAGAGGAGAGACAUUAUGUCUACCCACAGUGUUCUGACCUAAGAAAAUUUGAAUGAUUAACAGCCUAACACU
ensembl:snoRNA